rnacentral:rRNA from 1 species
GAUGAACGCUGGCGGCGUGCCUAAUACAUGCAAGUCGAACGAACAGACGAGUAGCUUUCUCCUCUGACUUUAUCGGCGGACAGGUGAGUAACACGUGGAGAACCUACCUAUAAGACUUUGAGAACUUCGGGAAGCCGGAGCGAAUACCAGGGGAUAUAUUGAACCUCAUGGUUCAAUGGUGAAGGACGGUUUUUCUGUCGCUUAUAGAUGGAUCCGCGCCGCAUUAGCUAGUUGGUAAGGUAACGGCUUACCAAGGCGACGAUGCGUAGCCGACCUGAGAGGGUGAUCGGCGACACUGGAACUGCGACACGGUCCAGACUCCUACGGGAGGAAGCAGUAGGGAAUAUUCCGCAAUGGGCGAAAGCAUGCUGGAGCAACGCCGCGUGAGUGAUGAAGGUCUCCGGCUCGUAAAACUCUGUUAUUAGGGAAGAACAAAUGUGUAAGUAACUAUGCACGUCUUGACGGUACCUAAUCAGAAAGCCACGGCUAACUACGUG